CAUCCGAUGGAUCCCAUCCCAUCCCAUCCCAUCCGAUGGAUCCCAUCCCAUGGAUCCCAUCCCAUCCCAUCACCCCAUCCCAUUAUCCCGUUAUCCCACUAUCCCAUCCCGCAGUGCCUGCGGGGCAGCCCCUCCUGAAUCAGCCGCACAUCAAAGCCGCGGCGGCGCGGCGCUCCCAGCCCCGGCGGUGAGAGCAGGGGACAGGGCCCGUGCAGAUGUUCAGCAGCAGCUUUUCCCAAUUACAGAGAGCAGCAGAACUUACCGGAAAACCCGGGGAGAGGAAGGGAGAGAGUCCUGGCCAGUGGAGGCCCGGAGCAAAGAGCCCACACAUCCCUUGGAGCUUCAGCACAUCUCCCAUUUCAGCUCCAGCACCACAUUUAAUCACCCCACAUCCCCCUCCAGCCCUUGCUGUGCUGGGGAUCACCUGCUCCCAUCAAAAUCUUGCUCUUCUUUAGGAAAACCCCUCCUUGCUGGGCUUCAGGGCACUGAGGGGGGCUCAGACUUCUGAUCCAAGCCUUUGGAAAUGGUGAGAUUCCUCCUGGAGAAUCCAGCUGACCGUGUGAGCCACAGCAGGGGGACACAUGGUGGUUUUUGGCUGAGCCUGGCCAGGGCAGCCCUGAUCCUGCCCAGCUCCCACGGGCACUGUGGAUUACCAGGAGCAGGAGUUUCAGAGUCCGGGAAGUCACCCGGGCAGGACAGUGGCAUCACUCCCACAUGACAGCUGGACUUUCUCCUUUCGACAGCAAAAAGAGCAAAAUUCAGUGUACCUCGAGGGUGGCUGAAACAAAAACAGCAAAAUUCAAUGUACCUCGAGGGUGGCUGCAGCAAAAAGAGCAAAAUUCAGUGUACCUCGAGGGUGGCUGCAGCAAAAAGAGCACAAUUCAGUGUACCUCGAGGGUGGCUGAAAAAAACCAGCAAAAUUCAAUGUACCUCGAGGGUGGCUGCAGCAAAAAGAGCAAAAUUCAGUGUACCUCGAGGGUGGCUGCAGCAAAAAGAGCAAAAUUCAGUGUACCUCGAGAGUGGCUGCAGUGUGGGCACCCUGGCAUGGAGCAGAGGCAGUGGGACGUGCCUGGCCUUUCCACUGGGGGUCAUGGAAUGGGUGCAGGGUGGGAUGGGGAGCAGGUACAGGGCCAGCUCUUUCAGCUGCAGGUGCUCUCUCUGGUUUUCUGCUUGGAUGAAGCUCUGAGCGUGGCUCACAGCCUCCAGCCCACUGCAGACCCUUGCCAAAGUCCUCUCCCCUCUGCCCAGGAAGGAAAGCACUUGCCCGUGGUUCCCAUCUCAUCCCAGGAGGGUCUCCUCCUCCCUGGGGGAUGCAGAGAUGCUGUGCUCCCUCCAGAACACAUCAGGGUGUCCCUGCUCCCACAACCCCAAUUUUAAGGGAAAAUAAAAUCGGUUUUCUCCCUGUCCUUCCUCCCAUGGCCCCAUGAUCUGACUCUUCCCACCUCUCCAGAAAAGGGUCCAGAGGGAGAGGGGCUGGGUGGGAGUGGGAAUAAUGCUCAGUGCCACACGGGCAGUCGCAUCACCUUUUAUUAAUGUCCUGUAAUAAUAUUGUAAAUACUCACUGGGAAAUAAUUAUAUCCUAUAAAAGGAGCAGCAGCCUGUGGUUUGAGGCAGGACUGGUUAGAAAUACUUGUUUUUAUUAAAGAGACGUUUCAUGUCUCGUUUACAGAUUAGAUUUUAACCUGACAACCUUUUAACAUUGUAUUAAAUUAGAAAUUAACUUUGUAAGGCUGCUCACCGUAUAAUUGACCCACUGAUAGGCUGAGUGCUGGGGAAUAUUUCAGAUACCUUUCAGACAGCAAAGUUCCCAAGAAAAUUCAGAGCCUCCUCCCUGAUCUAGACCAGGGCUUUGCUAUUAAUUAGUAUUUCUGAUCAUUUAUUGGCAGGAAUGCUUUCCAUGGAGGGGAGGCCCAGGGAGCAGCAUCCCUGCACAUCCCAGGGAUGUGAUGGAGGGAAGGAGAGGGAGGUGACAGGGAAUGCUGCAAGCCCCUGACAUUGCUGUUGGUGUUGCAGCGUAAUUUCCUGCAGCAGAAACUCCCAAGAAAGGCAAAAAAUUCAGCCUGGGGACUCCCUGACAGCAGCAAUGACAUCGGAGCCCAGGGAGGGACGGUGGCAACUGAUGGGACAGUGUCAAGCCCAGGCACAGCCAGGAGUGUCCCCAGGGCCGGGGGGACAUGGGGCAUGGCCAGCAGUGUCCCUGUACAGAGUGAAUGAGCUGGGUGUCCCCGUGGGGACAGGGGUGUCCCUGUCACUCCCCGGUGCUGGGGACUCGCACCCCGCCGGGUCCUGCCCUUCGCUCCCGAUGGACAGAGGCAUUUGUGGGACAGCUGGAACCUGGCCCCAGAGGGACAGAGGAGGUCUCACCCUGUCGGGCUGGAGGACUCUGGAGCCCAGAUUUACACCGGUAUUCCCUUAAUUCCACGGGACAGCGGGACACCGGACAGCCCCGGUGCUCCAGCGCGGGGACCAGGGAUGCUCUGCCCGGCUGGGGGCACAGGGACGGGCGAGGGCACAGAGGGCACAGAGGGCACAGCUGAACUGCUCAUCCCUUCCCCUUUCUGCUCCCAGCAGCUCGGACAGGGGCUCCUGCCGUCCCCGGGACAGGCGCUGCCGCAGACAAAUGCUUGUCCCGGUGCCUUUUCCAUCUGUGAAACAGGCCAAGCAGUGGAUCCAAUUUUUUUUUUUUCCCUAGCACACAAGCCACUAAUCAUUUAUUGCAUUAAAAAAAGCCCCCCCUCGUCUCCACAACUUUUGUUCCCGUUUUAUCCAAUUAAAACUCAGGGGAGAAAAAAAAAUAUAAAAGUUUCGUUUUCUCCUUUUUGCAAUCACAAAGACCCGAUCUCAGCCCCAUUGACUCGCUAAUUGUAAGCACUCAAAUGGUUGGGUUUAAAGUUACACUUAGCAGCUGUGAAACAUUAGGGUGAAGUGAUUACAACCUACUGGAGGAUACCGAACAUUUUUACAAUAUCUCAGGAGCAUAAGGGAAAGACAACAGGAAAUGGCGCAAACUUUCCUACCCUGCACAGCAACAAGGCAGAGCAAAGGAGUGAGAAAAUAAAUGCAGAGACGUGGCGCAGACGUGGUUUGGAUGCUCAAGAAGUUCCUGAGGGAGCCCUGGCUCUAGGCUUUCUUAACAUUUUGGCUACAGGGCUAUCAACAGCAGAGAAUUUAGGACAUUCUUUUCAAUGAACCAGACUGAAAAUAUUUUGGUACAGCCCCAGUUUGUAGGGUUUUGUUGAAUCUCUUCCCCCCCACUUUAAACAAAACAUCCUGAUUCAAAGGAGCUUCUUGCAGACUGGGAAUUUCCACAUGGCCAUAUUGCAGCACUUAUAAAAAGUGAUUUAAUGCCUGCCAACAACAAAUACAUUUGCAAUGACACCACUCUGUGUUAUGUGCUAUCCCACUUUGUGUGCUCAGCCAGAAGCAGCCAGGCUGUCCCAGGCAGGAGGGAGAGGAGCCUCCUUCCUUCCUCCACCAGAACUUUGUCCCUUUCCCUGCUCCUUGGAAAGCCUGAAAGGAAACAAGCAUCACGGUGACAACACAAUCCCUUCUGUAUGUGUUAAUCUGGAUUUUGUUUGAACUUUUGGAGCUGACCUUGGCUUGAACUGUGUUAAAAAGCCUGACUGGUGUGGACUGACUUGACCCUGCGGUCCCAUUUGUCCACGGUGCCAGUCCUGCCCUCAGCCCUGGACUUCAAGCCUUUAUUUUACAGACAAAAAGGAACAUAACAUUACAGCAGAUAUAGCCAGCGGGCCGGAGCUGCAAGUACUUACUUAGAGGCAAAACUCUCCUCUGAUUUCAUCCCAAGGAAGUUAUUUUUUUUUUUGCUUGAGAAGAGACUGACUGAAAACCAAGCAAGAAACUGAAAUUAUUGCUGUAGACUCUCGCUUUUUAUUAGCGGUUUCCAAGCCUGAAGAAAACAAAACCUUCUGAGUGGCUGUGUUACAAUCAAAAGUUAAAAAAAAUAAAAAUACUAACCCAAACCAAGCCCAGGACUGAACUGGGUGUUUGGGGAUGGAGUAGGAAGAGGGUGGUUGGUUCUGCAUCCCUUGGUGUGGCUGGCUGGAGCUGUAAGAUUUGUGGGUUUAGAUAGUUUCCUCUCCCUGCCAUGACUCAAACGGCUUCUAUUAAAAACAAGUAGUGGGAAGGAAAUUUCAUAAGCUGACAGCCCCAUCUCACUCUGCUGCUAGACACAAGUUGGCUGAGAUGUAGGAAUUCGUGUGGUUAUGAUGUGUGAGCCCAGAACUGUUUUAUCAGCGGGGUUGUGCAGUGCUAGCUCUGACUGUGCACGUUCAGAAGGGUGCAGAGGUUCAGGCUGCUCUGCAAAGCCUCUGGUCCAUGAUCCCACAACAGAACAAUGGAAAUGGGAGCCUCUGCCUCCUGCACCUGGGCCUUGUCCCUCUGGAAUCAGUGGGAUGAAGAAGCAGGGUCCCAAUCAAAGCAGGGAGCUGGGUGUUGGUGUUCAGAGGAGCCAAGUGGGUGCAAGGCACACCACCUAAAUACCUUGUUUUAAAAAUCCUGUCUGUGCACAGGAGGACAAGGAAAUGGGGAGGCAAAACCAUGCUAGACUGGCUGCAUAACAGCCACUGAUGGCUUUAAUUAAAGCCCUCAAGUCAGUAAAUACACACAGAGUCUGGUCCAGGGAGAUACACAAAGCCCACAGUCAGCCCAGUAACACUCCAUGAACAUUGCCAUUUAAGCAGUUUCUUGUUUAACUUAGAUUUAUUCAAUGACACAUGCAUUUCUGGACAGAUAUCUGAGUUCCAAUGAACAACUUUUAUAACCAAAUGUGAGAAAUCCAUGACUGCAAUUAGUCAAUUAAGUACGUUCCUAAAAUACAUGACUAGAAGAAAACAGGAGCAAGAGAGAGAAUUCUUCCAAAGAACAAAAAGAAACAUUUUCAUUUAUAAUACUCCUGGCAUCGAUGAGUAUCAGAGGGGAAGAAGGGCAGCAAGGAGAGGCGAUGAGGAAGGAAUAACAUCAUCAACCCUGUCCACAGAAAGU